rnacentral:rRNA from 1 species
UACGAAGGGGACUAGCGUUGUUCGGAAUCACUGGGCGUAAAGCGCACGUAGGCGGAUUUGUAAGUCAGGGGUGAAAUCCCGGGGCUCAACCUCGGAACUGCCUUUGAUACUGCGAAUCUUGAGUCCGGUAGAGGUGGGUGGAAUUCCUAGUGUAGAGGUGAAAUUCGUAGAUAUUAGGAAGAACACCAGUGGCGAAGGCGGCCCACUGGGACGGUACUGACGCUGAGGUGCGAAAGCGUGGGGAGCAAACAGG